rnacentral:rRNA from 1 species
GCCUAUUAGCAAGCCCCACAAGCCAAACCAAACAAGUAAACAUAAAUAACCCAAAAAGCACUUAACUUUGUUAAACAAAACAUUUUUCCCCUUGAGUAUAGGCGAUAGAAAAAGGCCACAAGGGCGCAAUAGAAAAAGUACCGCAAGGGAAAGCUGA